ACAUUGUUGAAUAAAUAGAAAAACAUUAAGCAGAUGCAGCUGUUAAUUACAGUAAUUUGAACUGUUUUCUUUCAUUUCAUGCCUGUGUUUUAAUGCAGUUCAAUUGUGCAUCAUGUCUACUUAUUUGUGAAUAAAAAUUCUUCUGCAACUGUCAUUUGAACAGUUACAUAUUCCUUAGUGACUUAGUCUAGAGCUGGGAGAGAAGCUUCAAAUGCUACUUUUGUUUCAUCUGUAUUCUCCUGGGAUAGAGAGAGGAGAGAGAUAACUUAAGGUCAGGAUGUGGCUUAGUAUGUAUCCAUCUGAAUGAACACAGAAAAUCUUGAUGAAAAGCAGUUCUGCUUGUACUGGUAAAAUAAGAAGGACCUUUCUUGAUACCAUUGUUACUUGCUUACUACAGAGUUAUGUCGAUUAAGAUGCUUGAGUACUGGGAUAGGAAAGCUGUUAUUUUUGCUAGGCAGAAAUCUUAAAGUUUUUAGAAAAAAUAGCUUUGUCUACCACGAUGGGAUGCUACAGGGUCUUGAAGAGGUAUUUUCCUUUCUGAUUUCUGAUACUCUGGUCUUCAGGUUUGGGAAAAUAACUGACAUACUGGAAUAAAUAUACCAGUACAUCUGUUUCUACCAGAUGACAGAUUCAUAUUGUGAUAUUCAUCUGCUUCUUGUUCAGGCAAACGUUUCAGCCACUUUCUUAUUAAAGCUGGCUAGCAUUCACUCCUUUUGCCAGAAACGUUGCAUCUGCAGUAUUUAUUUUUUUGAUAAGAACUUUUCUCUAAUUCUUUGACACUGGCUUAAUUCAUCUUUACAGUUGAUGUGCUUGAACUGCGUUGCAUUAUUUAAAAACAAACGUAAUUCCUUGUUUCUUCUUCAAAACUGCUCCCCACCCCUGUAACAUAGGAAUUUGUCUAAUGCAGAUUCUCAUUAGUUCCUUUGGAUCAGCCCUUUGUGAAAUUCUUGUAGUACUUUCCUCGUUGAAGUAAAAUCUGUUUCAGAUGUCAACUAUGACCUCUACUGAUUUCUCAGCUUUUGUUCUUGUUUGUACUUUUAUGACUUCCUGACUUUCUGAAAUUUACUCAUCUGCAGUGAACAGACAGAAGAGUGAUACGUAGGCUUCGUGAUGACAAAACGACAUAGAGACAGCUUUAAAAAGGGGUUAUUCCCUUUGUUGUACAAACCGUCAGUUCCUCUGCUGUCUGGAAGGGAAAUUCUUAUGGCCUGUUCUCUUCAAGGGUCUCAGGGUGUGGCUAUCUCCUUUGUUAGUUGAGUUGUUUAUUACCUGGAAAAUAGAUGUUCUUGCAUGUGUCUGGAUUUCUUCCUGCUUUUAAAAUAACUCUUAGCAGGUACCUAUAAUUUUUUAGCAUUUGUAUGGUUUUUCUUAUCUAGGUAACUUAACUACCAAACUUCUAAUAUUUAACCGCAACUCAUUUCUGGUGUUACAUACUCAUGAUUCGAAAUGCCAUUGCUGUAUUUUUUUUUACUUUGGACGCUAUACUGUUUUACUGAUUCAGUGUAGAAGAAUCAACAUCCUACUUUGUUUCCUUAUGGUCAUUUAUCUCGUCUUGAGGGUAAUGCUUCCGGUUCUUACUCAUUAUUUGUUUAUGAAUAGCAGUUAAUAACUUUUUGAAUCGAAUGGCUCUUACAUACUUAUUAGUAUACUAAUAUUUUUGUAAUGUUUAAUACUUUUCAAACUCCGAAGAUCACUUCAUAGAUCAUUUCUUUUGCAAACCUAAUUGCCAGUUCUCCAUAUAGCAGUUAAAUGGCUGGAUUAAUUAAUAUUGUUGUAUUAUUAGACAGUGCAGGAUAGUUGAGGAAAACGUGUGAGUAGAUUUUAUUUUUGUCGUUGUUUCAUUGUACGUGAUAAGCAUUUUACGGCCCUCACACUAGUAUUGUUACAUUCUGCAUCAUGGAGGCUAUAGGUUUUAGGGUAGUGGCUUCCUUUCCCAUCAAACAUUAAUUCCUAUGGAAAGGCAAAGUUGAAGUGGCUUGUAUGUUUCAGUAUAAAUAUAGUGAAACUCUCAUUCUUCUUCAGAAUAAUUAAAAGUAAAGCUUGCUAUUUUUUUGCAUGUUUGUUUUCACUUAGGAUUGUAGAAGAACUUUGGUGGUUUGUAGGAGGUUGUGACCAUGAAGUUAGGCAGUAUCAUAAGUUGUUUGGAUUAGUUUCAUGGAAAUACUUGGGACUACUGAGGCCAGUCAUACAUAUAUGGAUAAUUGGUAAGUCAAAGAGUGAAAGAGAGAGGCUCAGUCUUACAGUAAACUAGGAUGGAAAAGGACAGUUUUCACAGCCAUAGCUGUUUUGAGUAGUUGUAGGAAGCUGAGGCAAACUCUCGCAGCUGGCUUCCUGCGUCUGACAGUGGAUUAUUCUCAAUGGAGGUAGAAUAACAGCAGUGGUUACUGACAUCAUUUCAGAAGGAGAAAAGAAUGUGAGAGGUUUGUAUUUUUUAUGGAGAAAGUUAAAUCCUUCAUUAAAGCAGUGAUAUUUUGUGACCUUUCUUCAAGAAAGGACCCAGGAUAUGGGUCAGCUUGAUAUAGGGAAGCUUAUUCAUUAGCAAUGAGACUUUGUGAUUUAUAGCACUGAUUCUUUGCUUUUCUUCAGUCCAGGAGAGCUGGAUAAAGGACAGUGAAAUGUUAUCAGGACUUUUAAAAGAUAACUCGUAUUUCUGACAGGAAUUGUAGGAUUUUUUGUGGGAGUGAUCUGCCUUCUCAGAUGAUAUUGUGCUUAUGUUCACUGUGCAGCUUCUCUUAAGAUAGGCUAUUUUUUCUGUGAAAUAAGCUGUUUCUUGCAACAGAAAGAUGGGUGUGGGGUGCAGUUAAGUCAGGUAGUGAAAUCAAGGUGUUAACAAAGUAGAAGAUGGGUAGAGCAUGUUAGAUGCCGUGGCAGAAACAAGGAUGCAGUAUGUUCACAAAUAAAUUGUCUGACUAGUUCUGAUGGUUAGUUCAGAUAUUGUUGGAGAUGAUCUGUAUGGGUGCUGUGCUUGAUCUGUUGAUUUUUUGAUUGGAUAUGUGACUGGAGAAUUGUUGAUUAUAACAUAUUUGUUCUCACCUUUGCAGGUAGAUUGGUUGGUUUGGGUUUUAUUUGCUAUUCUAGUUUAUACUUUUCAGUGGAGUUGGUCAUAGCUCAGCUAGUGUCUUUGAAUAUGGACAAAAAACAUUAGGCAGUUCUAGCAUGGUCUGUAGCAUGUUCAAGUUGAUCAGAGAAGGUUCUGAAAUGUGUGACUUGUGCUACAGGUUAAGAGACAUAAAACUCCUUGCAUGGAAGCUUAACAAACCCUGGGAUAGCGUCAGCAGUUAAAAUUUUGAAAGCAUGUUCUAGAAGAGAAAUACUUUUCUGUUGCAGAGCAGUUCUUUUUUCUGUUUUACAUGAUGUUGCUAAUACAUGGUAGAUAAAAUUCUCUCAAUUUAAAAGAAAAUUUAAGUUGAGAAAAACUCUGUUAAACUCAUUUACAACACUUUCAUGCACUUUACUAGUUUCUUAAUGCAAAAGAUCUUUUAUCUACUUGAACAAAAGAUAAUUACAUUUGGUUUUUUUGUUGCAAAAAUACAAUUUUAUGUGAUUUUGAAGUCAUCGUCUCGAUGCCUAUUACUGGAAAAUAAUAAAUCCAUCUGAUACUGUUAGUCCUUUCUUUCUUACUUUUUUUCCUAAUAGUAUAAAAACAGACGCUUGAAGUUCAUUUACCUCAGUUGUUCAGUUUUAUUUCCAAGCCAUUACUUUUUUUUACCAGCUCUCAUGAAUUUUAUCUUGCUUUCAUAUCUGGCACAUUUGAUAGAAACUCUCUUAAUUUUUCUAAUCCUAGGUCGUCGCUGAUUUUCAGUUAAUACAUUGAAGAGAAAUGCACUGACUGUAUUUGUUACUAGAGGCAUCUUGGCAGGAUCUGCAUUGCAAGGCUAUUAUCUUUUCAUGUCAGGGUUUGCUCAGAACUUUUCCUUAAUAGCCUUCCAUAACACUUUCUGCAUUGUAAGCGACUUUAUCUGCAAUUCCUAAUCUAUUUCUAGAGGCAUAAUAGCAGCAACAGUGAUAAUUCUGAUUUUCAUAAGGUUGAAUGGCUUAUUAACUCUUUUCUGUUGUCUUUGAACUUAAAGCGGCUGCACUACUAGGCCGCUUAUUUGAAAUUCAUUGUUGCUCGCUAUCUAGGGAAUCGGUACUUUCUUUUUAAUAGGAAAGGUCUUUUCUGUUAUGCUGUGUUGCAAGCAGACUGUCAUAGUUGCCAUAUCCUUCAUAAUUUCUUUUUUGAGAGCUGUGUUUAGGAGUCAUUUCUUAUGUAAUUCAGUAUAAAUUAAAACAUCUUGUUGAUUGUUUCUACCAGACAAAGUUAGAUAGUGGUACAUUGUUAAGGCAGAAGUUUACUUGGAAACAUGAAUCAUUUUUUACAUGAGAAAUUAAAGAUCCAAAUCCACUGUUUAAGGUCUAUCUUAAAGCAUUAAAUUGGAAAGCAGAUACAGAAGUAAGUCGCCAUCUAAACCAAACAAAAAUUCAGCACCUUCGAACUGUAUAAAGUAUUAUAACAUUUGACAAUAUCAGCUUUACUUAGAGCCUUGAUGUUUUCUGAUGAUUCUGGUAUUUUAAUGUUCCAUACCAUAGUCAAUGAUUUCCUUCUUGCGCUAGCACUUGCUCAAACGUGAGUUGAAGUACCUGGGAGCUGGUUAUAGCUGCAUAAUUCUUAGUGAACGUGAUUUUGGUGUUAACUAAGCAACUUCACAAAGAAGAGCUUUAUUCUUUCUAGUAUACUCGCCUUAGGAUUUUGGAGGAGAUGCUAAGAUUCUUGACCAUAGUAGAAAGUUUAAUUUCAUCUGCCACAUGUUUUGUUGUGAAAUAAAAACUUGGCACCAACUUGUGCUUUUGUAGAUGCCCAGAACGUAAUCCUGGCAUGAAUGUUCAUAUCUGUCCCCAGCAGUGACGCACAUUUGUUAAGAACAUUUUUUCUCUUGGUAUCUGAAAAAAGUAUGUUCUAAAACAACUAUUUCAAAAUUUUUGUAUUUGGACACCAAAGGGUUAAAACACUUAAAAGUUUAGUAUUUUUAAAACAUUUUGCUUUAGAAAUUUUAGACUAGUAUACUGAUGUUUAUAGGAAACGUUUUUCUCACUGUGGGCAUAUUAGUGUUCUGAUCUUUUUUUCUUUCUUUUGUUUUGUUUUAAUCCUUGUAUCUGCUAAUUUUUGUAUAGGAAUAGUUACUAAUUCUUUUGAAAUACAGCGUACUAAAUUUAAAGUAAUUGAAGCCAUGAGUUGACCAGUAAUUUUAAUCCAUUCUGUAUAAAUUUCAGUGAAGAACUGACAAAUUGGUUUCAGGAUGAAAGUAAUAAUGCUUAAAAGGCAUAAAAGGCUUAGUGUCUUGUUGUGAAGGUGGUCACAUGAUAAUGGCUUACAUAAUGAAUAAUGUGCUACAGCACUUUAUGUAUGUUAAUGUAACUUUUAAUCUUAAUGUUGCCUGCAAAUAUGUGAUCCCUUAUGAUAUAAGUUUCCUGUUUAUGCACCAUUGCCCGUUUAAAUCAAACAGAAGAUUCUGAAACUGUAAAAACUACACAUGUCAAUGUUUUACAGCUACGUAAUUCGAAUUGACUUGAUUUUUUCAAGUAAUCCUAGAAAGGGGGAGCAUUCCAUAUAGAAACUGCUGAAACUGCCACAGGUGCUUCUCCGAAAACCUUACAGUUGUGGCAUUGAAUGUUCAGUAUCGCUUCCUUUCUGCACACAAGGCAUACUGUUGAGCUUGAGAAAUGCCAGUGGCCUGACAGCAGCAGACCUUGCACAUACCCAGGGCUUCCAAGAAUGUGCCCAGUUUCUCUUGAACCUCCAGAAUUGUCACCUGAAUCGUUUCUAUAGCAAUGGCACCUUAAAUGGGGUUCAUCAGAUUGCAGGUCCCAAUCCAUUCAGUGGUGGGACAAGUCGAAAGAGAUCCUUUGAAGAUACGGAGUCUGCUGGAGUAAAGAAGGCUAGAACUGAAGCUUAUAGCUUUGAUGGCUUAAUACCAAUGAUGAAUGGAGGAGUUGAGGAUGAUGCUGACAAUAUGCACGUUGAUAAAGAGUUUGCUGUUGUAUCAGAUAUGAAUAGCAGUAGCUCCAUAUUGAAUGCACUGACAAAUGGAUGUGCCAUCAAUGGACAUUUGGACUUCACCGCCGCACAGCAGCUCAGUGGAAUGGAUACCAGGCAUGAAGAAUGUUUAACAUUAACGCCUAAUGGAAUAAUUCCUGGAGUAACCUCUCCCAGUAGGCAUCGAAUUCAUACCAGUAAUGGCACUGAGGAACCAGAAAAAGCCAUGAAUAGUUCCACUGAUAUGUGUGGAUCUCUGCAUCUGAAUGGAAGCCCGAGUAGCUGUGUAUCUAACCGACCCUCGUGGGUGGAAGACCUUGGAGACACUUUGCACUAUGGACACUACCAUGGUUUUGGGGAUACUGCUGAGAGCAUCCCUGAACUUAGUAGUGUUGUUGAGCAUUCCAAUUCUGUUAACGUUGAACAGAAAUACGAUAAUACUGUCUUAGGCAC